rnacentral:lncRNA from 1 species
CUCCUGGAGCAGGAUAGUGCCCGAAAGGACAUCCAUGCCCAGCUGCAGGAGGCCCAAACCCUGGCCCAGGAUGCUGCUCUUGUCCUAGACCAGCUGCGGGCCUGUCAAGCUGAGUUGUCAGCUCGAUUGAAGCAGCACCACUCCCCCAGCGAAGCUACCCAAAACCCACCCUUUCUCCCAGCAGAUUCCAAAGGCUGGCCUAUUCCCCUGCAGGCCUUGAGCCUCCCUGAGUUGUCAGGAGCCCUGGAAGACCGUGUCCAUGAGAUGGGACAGGCAUUAUGCUCCGUAACGCAGAGCCUGGAGAAACUACAGAUGCUGAAUGGGAAGAAAUGGAGGGAACCAUAGCCAGGAGGGACGAUUCUGACGUUGGGUGACGAAUCCACCCUGAAGUUAUGUGCCACGCAAGACAGGGCAGUGAGCAGAUGGCUGCGGCAGCCCAGGGAAUAGAAGACCAGCCCAGGGAGCAGCUUGUGGACAGGAGGACAGGACUUCAGUCCUCACUAGGGCAGCUUGGGCCAGCCCUGAGACAGGAUGAAGGGCCUAGCACCCAGAUUCUGGUGGAGAGGCCCAUGCUGGUAGGCAGAGGCAGCUUUGGCUCAGACCAGGCAGGGCCGUAUGGAGAGGCUAAGUCCUGCACAUGUAGGGGCCACACUGAAGUCUGAUUUUACAGUCGAAGUCUGGGGUGCCUAGAAAAUGUACUCUUUGAAAAUAAAAUUAGACGCAAGUUGGUGGG